rnacentral:rRNA from 1 species
ACGCCCGACACCUACGGGAGGCAGCAGUGGGGAAUAUUGCACAAUGGGGGAAACCCUGAUGCAGCGACGCCGCGUGAGCGAAGAAGUAUUUCGGUAUGUAAAGCUCUAUCAGCAGGGAAGAAACUGACGGUACCUGACUAAGAAGCACCGGCUAAAUACGUACCAGCAGCCGCGGUAAUCUGAGCGGGCUGGCAAGGC